rnacentral:lncRNA from 1 species
CCUCAGUUCCAAAGACUAGCUGUAGGUAAAUUAUUUUAAUAAGGUAAGAGAUAGCACAGUACAGUUUUCUUUUCUUCCUUUUUUUUUUUUUCCUUACCCCAAAUAAUGCUCUCUAUGUCAUCUGUAUAUUUAUGAUAGCUCAAAGACAUGGGUGUGUGGAUCUAAUUAAAAAUGUGAAAGGGUUUAGCAGCCUGCUGCUUCCCUGUGAGUCUCUUGUUGCCAACUCUUGGCAGCUCUGCUGUCACCGAGCCAAAUGUUUAGUCUUCAGCUGAACUACUGCCAGUGAGCUGCACUGCAUUCUGGGACCAUAGAGCCUCGAGGUACUGUGUUAAACUAUCUCACAUAAGGAUGUGCAGUGAGCUGGACUUCAUAUUCAAUCACCCAAAAGAAAAGUGAAGGAGAAAGCCCACUUUUGCCUGGGGUACAUCAAGUUCUCCUGAGAAGAGACAUGGUCCUGUGCCACCCAGCAGUAACUCAGCAUCUUGAAUUAUUAGACCCCUCUUCAGAGAAAUGCAUGAAGAAUAUGGGGGAGGGCUUUUUGCUGCUCCCCUCUCAGGCAAAAUGCCCACUGAAUUCAAUAGGAUUUUUUCACGAGUCACCCUGGUAUAAAUUGGGAACAGCUGCCUUAUUAAGGAAUAUCUCUGGAAGAUAUCAAGUGUGUGUAUGGCCGUAUCUCAGCUGUGACCAUCCUUACCUAUGGUUCUGA